UUCCUUAGUGGGUCAUGCUCUGGUAGAUGUAACAUCGGGAUGGGAUGUUUUAAAUGUUUUAUUGUUGGUUGUGAACCAUUUUACAUGUAAUGUGUUACAUGUUUUGCAUGACUGAAUUGGUCUCUAUCCGCUGCGUAUUAUGCAAGUGUUUACUUUGUUUUAAUAAAAGAGCAUGACAGUUAUUAUGGUGAAUGGUGUGAAAUGAUUGUGUGACACCCUUAAUUGCAUAUUUACUCUGAUUGAUAUAUUGUUAUUUUAAUUAAA
rnacentral:lncRNA from 1 species